ensembl:lncRNA
GCUUCUCGGAAGGUGCUUGAAAAAAGGGUUCAAGUAAAGUAGAGAAUAGAUGUGAGGUGCUAAAUUGAGCCAAUGGACGGAGCUGUAGCCCCGCAGAAAUGCCAUGUGUUCUGGAGAUUUGGAUCGAUGAACAAAAAAAAAGCUGCUUGACCUUUGCUCGGACUAACAGCGGGUGGAGAUCGGAUGGAGGUCACGUAAUCGGAUUGACUGAAAGAAGGUUUCUGAUGAGCUUGUUGCUUGGACUCGUGCGGUUACAGAGGAAGUGGGCGAGUAAUGCAAUAACGUCAAGUCUGAAUCGAUGACGGAUGUAAGGCAUCAGCAUCUCGUCAGUGAUUGGUCAGUGAUUAGAUUGCGGAAUGGCUGGAGAAUUGGACAAGGAGAUGUACGAGAUCAGGACCCGUUCCUUAUUUCCUCCUGAUGAUUAAGGGAUUCUGGUUGCGUAGGUAAACAACUGAACGUUUGGCCUUUUCUUUUUGUAAAUAUCACG